GGAUAGCCAACAAAAUUGGAAUGUGGGUCGACAAGAUUGUAUCAUAUGUAAUUUCGAUCCAAAAUCCUUCAUCGGGUUAACCCAAGAUCUAUAAAUUAAGAAUCUAGAACCCUCAAUUGGGUCCAAUAGGCUACGUAAAGAGAACAUAGAGAAAGAAAGAAGAGAGAGAAAAAUAAAAGAUGAGAAAGAAAGAAGAGAGAAGAGAGAGAAAGGAGGGAAGAGAGAGAGAGAGCAAUCCCUCUCUUCUCUUUUCUUCUCCAACAUAGGGAACACCCUCCCCAUUUCUCUCCUCCUAAUGGUGACGGCAAAAGAUCCGGGGCC
rnacentral:lncRNA from 1 species